AUCUCGCGGGUCAGGGGCAACAGCAGCCGCCCCCCGCCGGGUGGUUUUUCUGGCCGUGCGGGCGGCGCGGGUUGCGGGCGGCGGGCGCAGCUCCGGCGCUACUCACUGACAGCGGCGGCAUCCGAGUGCAUUUUCGAGCGGCGCUGCACACGCUGCCGGCCCGGCCCGGCUCCGCUCCUGCCCCGCUCCCGAUCCAGAGCCUGGGACGGACGCCGCCGCCCCGCCCCCCGCCCGCUCCCAUUGGUCCGCGUUGCCGGGAGAGGCCGCACAUCCCGCCCUCCUAUUGGACCAGGUUCCUGCCACUCUCCCCGGGCCCGCUGCGCACCGCCCUCCCUCCCUCCCAUUGGGCUCCAGGCUGCGCUCACCCCGCCUCCCUCCGCUGUGAUUGGGCGCUGCCGCUGCCAGUUUUUCCCGGUCUUUAAAGCGCGUGCAAAGUGCACCACUUUGUGUCACCCGCGGCUCUGAUUGGCUGCAGGGGCCAAGGGCCGCGCCCACGCCCUGACACGAUUGGGAGAAAAAAUGGCAGGCUGCCGACAGCAGCCGAACGCACAUAAGCGUCACACUGCUUGAGCAGCAGCGGGAUGAGCGGUGGGGAGACCUGCGGCCAAAAGCCGCUCCGUGUGGGACGAUGGGACUGGCUCACUGCCCCGAGGUGCUGUUCCCGGUCCUACGAAUCUAGCGCAUGGAGCCACCCUCCUUUCCCCGCUCCUCGCACAAGGAUCUCGCCGCUACGGAGCCGGAGGAGGAAUAUAGAAAGACGCCCUGCAGGUCAUUCCUGCUUAGCAUGCGAGCUCAGCAUCCUGCGUCUUUUCAGGGAUAAACGCCGUCCCUGGCACUCGCUGAGAAGAGACUGCUGGAGCAGCAUCUGUGCACGGUGGAGGAUUAUUAAGGCAGAACUUAGCCAUGAAAGAAAAAAAAAAAACAAACCUUUCCUCUAAGAGGUUAAGUUAAAAUAAAAUCAAGGACUACAAAACUG